GAUGGAUGUGGUCCAAUGGCUAAAGCUCUGUCAGCUUCUUGUAGACUGGCAGUCUCCGAGAGGAACCUUAACCGCCCCCCCCCCCCCGGGUUAGGCUGGGUGGGAUGGUAUACAUUUUUUCCACAAGUGGGAACUCAGUCCUUGGUAAGACACAAGGGGGGAAGGAAUAUCUUCACUCAUUCAUUAAGUGCCUGCGGUGAGACUCACAACAAGUGA
rnacentral:rRNA from 1 species